rnacentral:rRNA from 1 species
AGCAGCCGCGGUAAUUCCAGCUCCAAUAGCGUAUAUUAAAGUUGUUGCAGUUAAAAAGCUCGUAGUUGAAUUUCGGGAUCAGCAGGUCGGUCGUGCCACUGGUAUGCACUGGCUUUGCUGGUUCCUCCUUUCUGAAGAACUGUAAUGCCAUUAAUUUGGUGUUGCAGGGAAACAGGACUGUUACUUUGAAAAAAUUAGAGUGUUUAAAGCAGGCUAACGCUUGAAUACAUUAGCAUGGAAUAAUGAAAUAGGACGUUCAAACCUAUUUUGUUGGUUUCUAGGAUUGACGUAAUGAUUAAUAGGGAUAGUUGGG